UGAGCUCGAUGAGUAGGGCGGGACACGUGGUAUCCUGUCUGAAUAUGGGGGGACCAUCCUCCAAGGCUAAAUACUCCUGACUGACCGAUAGUGAACCAGUACCGUGAGGGAAAGGCGAAAAGAACCCCGGCGAGGGGAGUGAAAAAGAACCUGAAACCGUGUACGUACAAGCAGUGGGAGCACCCUUUGGGGUGUGACUGCGUACCUUUUGUAUAAUGGGUCAGCGACUUAUAUUCUGUAGCAAGGUUAACCGAAUAGGGGAGCCGUAGGGAAACCGAGUCUUAAUUGGGCGUUAAGUUGCAGGGUAUAGACCCGAAACCCGGUGAUCUAGCCAUGGGCAGGUUGAAGGUUGGGUAACACUAACUGGAGGACCGAACCGACUAAUGUUGAAAAAUUAGCGGAUGACCUGUGGCUGGGGGUGAAAGGCCAAUCAAACCGGGAGAUAGCUGGUUCUCCCCGAAAGCUAUUUAGGUAGCGCCUCGUGAAUUCAUCUCCGGGGGUAGAGCACUGUUUCGGCUAGGGGGCCAUCCCGGCUUACCAACCCGAUGCAAACUGCGAAUACCGGAGAAUGUUAUCACGGGAGACACACGGCGGGUGCUAACGUCCGUCGUGAAGAGGGAAACAACCCAGACCGCCAGCUAAGGUCCCAAAGUCAUGGUUAAGUGGGAAACGAUGUGGGAAGGCCCAGACAGCCAGGAUGUUGGCUUAGAAGCAGCCAUCAUUUAAAGAAAGCGUAAUAGCUCACUGGUCGAGUCGGCCUGCGCGGAAGAUGUAACGGGGCUAAACCAU
rnacentral:rRNA from 1 species